AAUAGGCUAACAUUGCAAUUUCAACAUCAUAUCAUUGAACUUGCAUUAUAUAUUGAUUUCACAAAGUUAGUCCACAUAAAUUUGUUAGUGUUUAUAUUCAAACAACACACGUGACGGACCUGACUAAACCUCAUUGGUUCUUGGGAUUCAGUACGUCACAUUGGCUUCCUGAUUCAGUUGUUCGAUACACAACGUGCGUGAUCGUUGGUAAAUGUGGAUUAAAAGUUGAAACUAAAACUGUUAAAUUAUAUAUAGUGAUCAUCAGAGGACUUGGCUGAAACAACGCGAUUCACAUGGAUUACUUCGGCGAUGUUUUUUAUUGCUGUUGCGAUUAACUUUUUGAAAUGUGAGCAGUUUUUAAGUAUCAAGUGGAUCUGACAUCGAGGGGAAAUAUACGUUUCUUGGAUUUCAUUAAAGUACAUCGGUUUUUGUUUGAAGAUGAAUGAGAGAACAUGAGGCACAGCGGCAUUCAAAUUGACCAAUCAGAGCCGAGAAUAUCUAAUAAGUCGAAGUAGAGAUGAACAGAUGAAGAUACAGCCCGUAAAAAUACUUAUUCUUGGUGAGUGCCAUGUAGCGACGGAUCAAACGGACACUCAUGUCAAGCUUGAUGAGGACACAGUCAAAGCUUUAAAAGACCUUGUGAUUAAGUCUUCAGUGUCUGAAUGGCAAGAAGAAGUGACCCUCCACUUAAACGUGACAUUUAAACUGCUCUGUGUUUUGGUUCAGCCAUUUGUAGGUUUAUCUCGAGU